rnacentral:rRNA from 1 species
CCCUUAGAUGUUCUGGGCCGCACGCGCGCUACACUGUUUGAUUCAGCGAGUCUUAACCUUGACCGAAAGGUUUGGGUAAUCUUCUAAAGUCAAACGUGAUGGGGAUCGAUCAUUACAAUUAUUGAUCGUGAACGAGGAAUUCCUAGUAAAUGCAAGUCAUCAGCUUGCGUUGAUUACGUCCCUGCCCUUUGUACACACCGCCCGUCGCUACUACCGAUUGAAUGGUUUAGUGAGAUCUCCGGAUUGGCUCUGUAGGUCCCGCAAGGGAUUUAUUAGUAGCCAAGAAGCUGCUCAAACUUGAUCAUUUAGAGGAAGUAAAAGUCGUAACA